rfam:Bradyrhizobium sp. BR 10245 contig19, whole genome shotgun sequence.
GGCUUGGGGACGGCGAUCUCCCCAUGAGGCGACAUGCCCAAGCAUCGCGUCCGGAUUCUGAGAAGGACGCAGCAUG